UACGUAGGGUGCGAGCGUUGUCCGGAAUUAUUGGGCGUAAAGAGCUUGUAGGCGGUUUGUCGCGUCUGCCGUGAAAAUCCGGGGCUUAACCCCGGUUCUGCAUUCGAUACGGGCUGGCUAGAGUGUGGUAGGGGAGAUCGGAAUUCCUGGUGUAGCGGUGAAAUGCGCAGAUAUCAGGAGGAACACCGGUGGCGAAGGCGGAUCUCUGGGCCAUUACUGACGCUGAGGAGCGAAAGCGUGGGGAGCGAACAGG
rnacentral:rRNA from 1 species